AAAUUUGAGUCGAUUGCGCUUGUGUGCGGUUAACCGAGGUGCAGUCAAAGGUCAACCAACCAAGGACGACGAGAAAUGCAGAUUUUGUAUUACUGUAUUCAUCUGUAAGUAAGCAGCUGGGGACGCAGUGCACUCGUAUUUGAUGUACAGGCGAGUUGUACAACUGGAUGGUUCUCCGUAAACCCAACCGAAGGAUCAGGGGGCUUCUGGACCUGUGGCCGGGGAAGCGGCGGCUAGGAGUGUACCGCUUCCUCCCGUUCUUCUUCGUGAUGGGGGCGGGGAUGGAGUGGUUCAUGAUCAACGUUCGGCUGGGCAGGGAAACCUUCUAUGACGUGUACAGAAGAAAGCAGGCAGAGCGACAAUACGAGGCUGCAGCCACAGAAAGAAACAAUGAUCAACAUCAAGGAUGAACUUACAAUAACAACUUUGCAAUCCUAGAAGAAAGCACUUUGCCAAACUGUAUAUCAUUCUAUACUGAAGGAGCAGCAUUUAUUAAAACUUCUGAUCUUGGUAUAAGGAUAUCUUAGCACAUCACAUGUGCAGACAAUAUCCUUCCACAGAAGCAAUUUCACAUGUGACACCGAGUUGACAAGAACAAUGCCAGCAGGUGUGCCGUGGGGGCCAUACCUGCGGUUUCUGACAGCCAGCAUGCUGUCCAUGUUUGCUGGUGCACAGGUCAUGCACAAACUGUACAACCCUGACCUGUCCAUCCCCGAGGUGCCGCCCAAACCCGGGGAACUGAAGACAGAAAUCCACCAGGUGUGGAAAAGACCAAGCUCGGACCCAGAGAGCAGCAGUUCAGGUGACAAGGCUGCGUAGUGUUCUGUUGACCUUCAAGGGAGUCUGAGACUGAAAUAUGUUUGCAAUAUUGAGAUUUAGUCAGACAUGGCCACAAUAAGGACUUCUU